UCGGAGAGUUUGAUCCUGGCUCAGGACGAACGCUGGCGGCGUGCCUAAUACAUGCAAGUCGAGCGAACAGAAGGGAGCUUGCUCCCGGAUGUUAGCGGCGGACGGGUGAGUAACACGUGGGUAACCUGCCUGUAAGACUGGGAUAACUCCGGGAAACCGGAGCUAAUACCGGAUAGUUCCUUGAACCGCAUGGUUCAAGGAUGAAAGACGGUUUCGGCUGUCACUUACAGAUGGACCCGCGGCGCAUUAGCUAGUUGGUGGGGUAAUGGCUCACCAAGGCGACGAUGCGUAGCCGACCUGAGAGGGUGAUCGGCCACACUGGGACUGAGACACGGCCCAGACUCCUACGGGAGGCAGCAGUAGGGAAUCUUCCGCAAUGGACGAAAGUCUGACGGAGCAACGCCGCGUGAGUGAUGAAGGUUUUCGGAUCGUAAAGCUCUGUUGUUAGGGAAGAACAAGUGCGAGAGUAACUGCUCGCACCUUGACGGUACCUAACCAGAAAGCCACGGCUAACUACGUGCCAGCAGCCGCGGUAAUACGUAGGUGGCAAGCGUUGUCCGGAAUUAUUGGGCGUAAAG
rnacentral:rRNA from 1 species